rnacentral:rRNA from 1 species
GUGCCAGCAGCCGCGGUAAUACGAAGGGGGCUAGCGUUGUUCGGAAUUACUGGGCGUAAAGCGCGCGUAGGCGGGUGACUAAGUCAGGGGUGAAAUGCCGAGGCUCAACCUCGGAACUGCCUUUGAUACUGGUCGCCUGGAGUUCGGGAGAGGUAAGUGGAAUUCCGAGUGUAGAGGUGAAAUUCGUAGAUAUUCGGAGGAACACCAGAAGCGAAGGCGGCUUACUGGCCCGAUACUGACGCUGAGGCGCGAAAGCGUGGGGAGCAAACAGGAUUAGAAACCCUGGUAGUCC